rnacentral:rRNA from 1 species
UACAGGGGGUGCAAACGUUGCUCGGAAUCAUUGGGCGUAAAGCGCACGUAGGCGGUCUGUUAUGUCGGAUGUGAAAGCCCUUGGCUUAACUGAGGAAGUGCAUCCGAAACUGGCAGGCUAGAGUACUAAAGAGGGUCGCGGAAUUCCCGGUGUAGAGGUGAAAUUCGUAGAUAUCGGGAGGAACACCGGUGGCGAAAGCGGCUCACUGGAUCUCUUCUGACGCUGAGGCACGAAAGCUAGGGUAGCGAACGGG